rnacentral:miRNA from 1 species
UGGUGCAAAAGUAAUUGCGGUUUUUGCCAUGGAAAGUAAUGGCAAGAACUGAAAUUUCUUUUGCACCAA